CGAAGUGCGGAAUACCGGCGAGAAAUCGCCGACAAGACCGCAUGGGCUUGCACUCAGCAAGGGGUGCAAGCAAAGUCUCUGUCGCAAGAGAGGGACGCUUUGGGAGGAGCCUGCGGCUGAUUAGCUGGCUGGGGGGGUAACGGCCUCCCAGGGCGACGAUCAGUAGCUGGUCUGAGAGGACGAGCAGCCACACUGGGAUUGAGAACGGCCCAG
rnacentral:rRNA from 1 species